rnacentral:tRNA from 1 species
GGGCCCGUCGUCUAGUGGUUAGGAUAGCGUUCCAGCGCCCUAAGGCCGCCCUUACGAGGCGGAGGUCCGGGGUUCGAACCCCCGCGGGCCCA